rnacentral:rRNA from 1 species
GCGAAGCGAUAUGUGGAGCGGUGAAAGGCUCAGUAACGGGCGAUUUAUUUGAUCUCCUGGGACGGACAACAUCGGGAAACUGAUGGGAAAACGUCUAAGUUGCAGUUAAAUGAUUGUGACGUAAACCAUAGUGUGCAGGAGAGUAAGAUGCCAUCCUAUCAGUUAGUAAGUAGGGUAAGGGCCUACUUAGACGAAGACGGGUACGGGGAAUGAGGGUUUGAUUCCGGAGAGGGAGCCUGAGAGAUGGCUACCAGGACCAAGGUCAGCAGCAGGCGCGAAAAUUAUCGAAGCCCGCCUAGGGGCGAUAGUGAGGAGACGUGUAUACGAAGUACGUGUAAAGACCGUACUAAUAACUGGAGGUCAAGUCUGGUGCCAGCAUCCGCGGUAAUUCCAGCUCCAGGGGUGUCUAUGAUGAUUGCUGCGAUUAAAAAGUCCGUAGUCGAGCUGACUGACUGACCUGCAAUGUGAUUGAUUAAAGAACGAGCAGGGUUAGGAAAGCAGAGGAUUAGGAGCGACCGAGGGCUAGAGUAUUGAAUGGCGAGAGGUGAAAUUUGAUGACCCAUUCAGGAGUGACAAAGGCGAAGGCACUAGUCAAGGGCGAAUCCGAUGAUCAAGGACGUAGGCUAGAGUUUCGAAAACGAUUAGAGACCGGAGUAGUUCUAGCAGUAAACUAUGCCGACGCCGUGGUAUUAGGCUAUAGUAUUGCGGAAGAGAAAUCAAGUAAGGCUUUGGGGAGAGUACGCGCGCAAGCGAUAAAUUUAAAGGAAAUUGACGGA